GACGAACGCUGGCGGCGUGCUUAACACAUGCAAGUCGAACGAAGUGGCGAACGGGUGAGUAGCGCGUAAUCAACCUGCCCUUCAGUGGGGGACAACCGUUGGAAACGACUGCUUAUACCGCAUACUGAAGGAGGGGUUUGCUUCUGAUUAGCUAGUUGGAGGGGUAACGGCCCACCAAGGAGAUGGUCAGUAGCCGGUCUGAGAGGAUGAACGGCCACAUUGGGACUGAGACACGGCGCAGACUUCUGCGGGAGGCAGCAGGGGGAAAUCUGCCGCAAUGGACGAAAGUCUGACGGAGCAACGCCGCGUGAGUGAUGACGGCCUUCGGGUUGUAAAGCUCUGUUAAUCGGGACGCGGUACCGGAAUAGAAAGCCACGGCUAACUACGUGCCAGCCGCGGUAAUAC
rnacentral:rRNA from 1 species